GUGAGCGGUUCAUCUUUUUAUUUUCACCUUGUUCAUACUGACACUUUAAUAAGUAUUUAUCUGUUCAGCAGUAGAUAUUAUUUCAUCUGGUGCAGGACCUACCAAACAAAAUAAAUAAUUCAAUCCAAAGUGCAAAUAGUGUAAUUACGUAUAUAAACGAAUCAUAAAAACAAAUAGUGCAGGACAAGGAGUAUAGAAAAGUGCACAACCCUAACCUUAAUCUUAGCCCUAAACAUAACCAGAUCCUCAGAUAGGAGAUUCUGCCUCAAUAGGACCAGAUUUUGGUUUCCAUGGGGUCUGACAAAGUCACUGUUUAUGGCAGAAAAGGUCCUAAAGAGGCAACAAAUAAAAGUACUAACGCUAACCCUCCUGAAUGGUUACCAGGACAACGGUUGAGCAUUUCGGACGGCGCUGUUAAGUACUCCCGACCAUGUGGUGGCGCUGUCUGGAGCUCGCUACAUCCUGUCCAACAGCUCCGCUGCCUACGUCACCACAUUUCUGUGAACGCGAUGUAACGUUGUGUAAAACUUUGAAGUUGGUCUCCAGAAACACUGUCAAACACAGGUUCACAAUGAGGGAAACGACUCUGCUGCUCAUGUUAGUGUGUCUGCUCCUGGGCCUCAGCCAGGCAGCCAGACAGGGACAGGACAUCAGAUGUGGAGCCUGCAGGGCUCUGGUAGAUGAGAUGGAGUGGGCCAUUUCCCAGAUAGACCCAAAGAAAAUGAUCCAGACCGGGUCUUUUAGGAUCAACCCGGACGGAAGCCAGUCCAUCAGAGAGGUUCCUCUGGCUCGCUCUGAGGGAAACCUCCUGGAGCUCAUGGAGAGCGUGUGUGAGAGGAUGGAGGACUAUGGAGAGAGCACAGAUUCCUCAACAGACAGGAAGUCCUACAUUAGAGUCAAAUCUCGGAGUGGCGAGCCCAUGGACCUUUCGGAGGCUGCGCUGGAUUCAAGAGUUACAGCCAGCUUAAAAUUUGCAUGUGAAACAAUUGUUGAGCAGAAUGAAGAUGAAAUCAUUGAAUUCUUUGCUCACGAGACAGAUAAUGUUAAAGACAAACUCUGCAGUAAGAGAACCGACCUCUGUGAUCACGCUCUGAAAAUGCCUCAUGAUGAGCUUUGAUAUCGCCUCGACACAACUGCCAUCUCUUCUCAGCAGAAAUGGAGACACUUGGUGCUUUAUAGGUUUCAGUCAUUACUUUUCACUUUAAAGUUUAAGCCCUGGCAGUUGUUUGAGAAAAUUUGUAAAAUAGUCGGGCAUACCUCUUAAAAACUAAAAGUGUUAAUCCUGUUACCAUGAAAACUUUCCUUGACACUCUUGUCAUUUGUUUACAGUAAGUUAUUAGUUAUUACAAAUUUACUUUUCUCUCGGCUUUACUAGAUGUCUUUACUCGAUAAAGCUGAAACUGUGAAACUGCAAAAAGUAAGUUGAAUUUCAACGUUUUUUUCCAGGUAUAUAUUAAACAAAAAUAAAAUAAAAUAAAAUGAAAUGAAAUGAAAUAAUAAUAAAAAAAGUGGAUAGUGAUAAGGCUGAAUAUAUUCAUGGCCGCAACAUGAAGUAUUUGAUGUCGCUAGCGUCAUUUGAUACUAAAUUAUGCUUUCAUGUAUUUUUAUUGUCAACAAAAUGUACUUAACAAUCUGUAACUGAUGAUGCCAGGUUUGUUUUCUGUUAAGAAAACAUUGAAAUUGCACAAAUUGUAAGGGAGAGUAUAUAAGAUAAGGAAUGAAACUGAUUUAAGUCAAAGUAGUUCCAUUGUGCAAAAGAGAGAGAGAGAGUGGCUUUAUUACUGAACAAAUGUAUCACACUACUUAAAUGACUGAUCUCCUCUUAGUCAUUAGAGGAACCUCAGUAAUGUUGUUGUGAAAUGAAUUACAGUACUGAUCACAUGUUUUCCUCUACAGAUAUUAGCAACUGAAUAUUACACUCCCAUGGAAUUAUUUCUUUAAUUUGGACAGUGAAACAUGAAAUAUUGGAGACUACUUCUGUUUCAAGCUGCUGUCUCAUCAUUUAUUUCACCAGAGCAGGAUCCCUCGCCGUCAGCCCCUGCAAACACUUGGUCAAGUUGAAUUUCCUGAACCUCAUCUUCCUCUGUUACAAUAACAGUGUCUCCAGAGCUGUGGCUGCUGCAGGACAGCGUGUCUUCCUCAACACUGUGUUCAGUACAGCAUGGAUCCUGCUUGGCUACAGUCUCAGAGUUCAUGUUGAAUACUGCAUCUGGGAAGCCCAUACCCUCCCGUAGGCUCUCUGGAUCCCAGUGCUCGCUUACUUCCUCUUCCUCAUUCUCAGAAUCAGGCGCUGUAUGUUUCCUGAUGCGAUUCACAGCAUCCCAUAAGGACUUGGGAUAUUGGUGGGGCAAGUCAAAGAAAACACCUUCACCUUCUCCAUGAGGGGGAGUAAAAAUGUCUGGAGUCCAAUCUGGGAGUAAUUCAUUGGUAGAAGAAGAUGAAAAUGGAGAAGACUCUUCACAAGAGUCAAAAAGCAGAGAAUGUGAGAUGGUUUCUCUAAUGCCAACAUCAGCACUGAUGGGAUUUAGAGCUGAGCAACAGGCUGAGUCUAGUUCCAGGCAGUCAGAAACAUGCUCUAUGUUUGACUCGAUGUGUGAUGGAGAAGGAAGCUCUGAGAGAAAGAGUAAAUCUGGUGAUGGAGACACCUUGCUGUCUGGGCCAGAUGGUUCAUAGUCAGAUCCACUGUUCUGCAAAAUUUCAAUCUCUUCUUGGGAUACUGAUUGUUCCUCGUCACAUUCUAUUUCUGAUGGCUCUUCAGCUGUUAAACUAUUCAUAACAUAAGACACAUUCUCUUCUUGGCUGAAACAAAAUUGUUCCUGCACAAUUUUUACAUCUACGUGAGUUUGACAAUCAACUGCAGUGUCUUUGAAUGUUUCAGACCUCUGAACUUCAUGACCUGUAUCUUCACUGGCUUCUCUCUGUGACCGUUCUUCAGUCACAAAACUCUCUGUUGCACAGGAAACGCCUUUUUCUUGGUCAUCAUCAAAAAGCAACAUAUUGAUCUUGUCAUGAUUGGUCUUGUUUUGUGUGUCUGUUGUGCUUUCCUGUAGUGUUGUAGUUUUCAAAAGUCCUUUUGGAUCCUUGCUGGCUUUUUGUUGUAGUUGCUCUUUGGUAAGAUGACUUACUUUAUUACAAGUGAUAUCGUCUGCUUGUUUUUGUAGAAUGUCGACAUCUAUAGCAUUUUCUUUGGACGGUUCAAGAGUCUGUUCCCAAAGGUCUUCAGGGUCACUGUCUGCUUCUGUUUGUUGCUCAUCAGUGAUGUUGCGUUCUUCUUCACAAGUGUCAUUGUCUGAUUUGUCUUCUCCACAAGUAUCAUUGUCUGAUUUCUCUUCUCCACAAGUAUCAUUGUCUGAUUUCUCUUCUCCACAAGUAUCAUUGUCUGAUUUCUCUUCUCCACAAGUAUCAUUGUCUGAUUUCUCUUCUCCACAAGUAUCAUUGUCUGAUUUGUCUUCUCCACAAGUAUCAUUGUUUA